rnacentral:rRNA from 1 species
AGGACGAACGCUGGCGGCGUGCUUAACACAUGCAAGUCGAGCGGAAAGGCCCUUCGGGGUACUCGAGCGGCGAACGGGUGAGUAACACGUGAGUAAUCUGCCCCUAGCUCUGGGAUAGCUCCGGGAAACCGGGAUUAAUACCAGAUACGACCACUUUAGACAUCUUCUGUGGUGGAAAGAACUUCGGCUAGGGAUGAACUCGCGGCCUAUCAGCUUGUUGGUGAGGUAACGGCUCACCAAGGCGACGACGGGUAGCCGGCCUGAGAGGGCGACCGGCCACACUGGGACUGAGACACGGCCCAGACUCCUACGGGAGGCAGCAGUGGGGAAUAUUGCACAAUGGGCGAAAGCCUGAUGCAGCGACGCCGCGUGAGGGAUGACUGCCUUCGGGUUGUAAACCUCUUUCAGCAGGGACGAAGCGAAAGUGACGGUACCUGCAGAAGAAGCACCGGCCAACUACGUGCCAGCAGCCGC